rnacentral:lncRNA from 1 species
UCAGCGCUUGAUGGGAGGCAACCCACUCUUUCUAUCUCUAGUUUCUUUUUAUUUAUUUAGUAGAGUAUUUAGUUAUAUCAUCUCUAUUUCAUUUUUGAUAAUUUGUAUGUUGUGCAUAAUUGAGUGUGUAGCUGAAUUUGCACUGAGAGGUGUGUGAAGUAGGAUAGAGUUUAUGUAGUCCUUCAUGUUUCUCAUUAAUCCAUGCCUUAAUAGUGUGCAUUCAUGUUCAUGUAGGUAUCUCAUCACGGAUCUACAGUUUGGGAAUAAAAAUUUUGCAAUAC